ensembl:lncRNA
GGUCUCCUCAGAUCUCCGCGCUGCAUCAGUAACAGAGUAAAUCUGCGCCACUGUGGAAAUGAACGCUGGCGUUAGGAGCUUCUUUAGUCUGCUGCUAAUCACACACUUUAGCAGAGCCCAGAAAAUCAGUGAUGACUCCAUCAACACCCCCCACCCUCCUGUGCUGUUCAGCAUCAGCCCCCAAUCCUACAUCAGCUUCCUGCUGCUGGGCCUGACCGUCGUCGUGUUCGGCGGCGUCUAUCUCUGGAUCCUCAGAUACGUCUGCAUCGGCUGCUGCCAGCCCAUCACAGUGGGCGUUGAAUCAGAAGCCCUGGCAGGGAUGGUGUGAAGUCAUCGGCCCCUGUCUGAUUGAGUUGGGCUGUUACCAAGUCACACAGGACAUGUACCUCGGUUUUACAGGUAAAAGACUUGGCCUAUCCGACUUGUCAUCAAUUUUGCAAAAGAAAGUAGGUGUCAGGGAAGAUAACUAAGUGUGUAGUCAUUUGUGCUCCCAUAUAAGUUUUUUUUUUCAAGUGCGGUUCCAGAGCGCUCAGUGACAGUGUCAAUGCUGGAAAAUAAGAAAGUAGGAGAAAAGUAGUUCUUUUGCUCUUACUUCUACACCCUGCUUACCUGAUAUCUGGCAAACAUCUGUUGGACACUGCCUGAAAAAUCGCUAAAAAGCUACUGAGCAGUGAACGUGAGACACAAUUGUAAAGCUGGGUGGCAGAAAUUUAAGAAAAAGUUCAGCUAAUAAGCUGAUAAAAUGCUUUGUAUCUUUGCUUUAGGGUUUUCUUUGUAGUUUAUUGACUGUUUUAUUUCGAAACCCUUUUUUCAUGGUUUCUUUUCUUACUUCCUGCCUUUCUCCUUCACAAGUGGGUUUUGUGUGUAACAAUUAGCCAUUUAGUGUAUUUAUAAUGGCGUCCCCCUUUUCUG